AACAUUUGUGUCAUGAUACUUUUGUUUUAUUAAUGCUUGAUUUGUUUUAAUUUUAGAACGCAAAACUAUACAAUCGGUCAACAGUCGACAAUAACAGUAAGUUGGUGAUAUGUUAUCACGUCAUUAGUGAAAGAAAGUAUAUAAGAUGCUUCUGCCACAUAGACAGAGAAAUAACACGAUGUUUAGUUCAUGUAAAACAUUUGAGAUACCUCUCAGCAUAUUGUUUCUUCUGAUAAGAUUAUUUGAGGUUAACUGUAUGUGUUUUAUGCUUCAUGUAACCGAUGAAGAACGGACCUGCGCAGAAUUAGCAAAUUUAGGUAAAACUCCGGUUUUGGAAUUUUACCAAACCAAUUCAGAGAGCCCAAAGUUUGUCGAUUAUCUGGACUGCGUCUUCUUGAAGUGGAAUUUCACAACCCCCACUGGGUCAAUCUUGUUUGACAAUAUCAUCGUUUCUCGCGGUCUGGCGUGGAAAAUGUCACGUAUGUGCGAGGAUACCUUCAGUUUAAUAAUUGAGCUAACAGAAGAGUUUAAAAAAUCCGCAAUUUUCUGCAAGGAAAAUCCUCCGAGCGUUCUUAGCCCUUUUACUGUAAGAAAGUGCAUUUCCGAGAAUUAUAGACUGUCCUCGCGUGCGGUUAAAACUUGAAUACUUUGGUAGUGUAGUGAAAUAAACAAGUUGUAAAUCAGCAUAUGCAUGAUUAAAGCGCAUUUUUGGUAA